rnacentral:lncRNA from 1 species
AUCAUACCUGGCUAAUUUUUUUUUUUGAGAUGGAGUCUCGCUCUGUCGCCCAGGCUGGAGUGCAGUGGCGCGAUCUCGGCUCACUGCAACCUCUGCCUCCCGGGUUCACGCCAUUCUUCUGUCUCAGCCUCCCCAGCAGCUGGGACUACAGGCGCCCAGCACCACGCCCAGCUAAUUUUUUUGUAUUUUUAGUAGAGACGGGAUUUCACCGUGUUAGUCAGGAUAGUCUCGAUCUCCUGACCUCGUGAUCUGCCCGCCUCGGCCUCCCAAAGUGCUGGAAUUAAAGGCGUGAGCCACCACACCCGGCCAAUUUUUGUAUUUUUGGUAGAGAUGGGGUUUCACCAUGUUGGCCAGGCUGGUCUCAAACACCUGACCUUGUGAUCCGCCCACCUCGGCCUCCCGAAGUGCUGGGAUUACAGGCAUGAGCCACCGCGCCCGGCCAUUCUUUGAGUUUUCAUCAACCAGUGGAUACAGAAGUGUGCUGCCCAUUUUGCAGAUUAGAGAAUUGAGGCUAGUAAAUAAGUCGGGACUUAGUUGAUGCCCUUGCUCUUUGAGUUCUGGGCUCUGGAGGCUUUGGAUUCAAAGCCCUGCUGCACCAUUUACUCAUCAUGUGACUUUGGGAAGGUGACCAUUCUCUGAGCCUCACUUCUCCUCCUCUGCAAAAUGGGAUUCCAGUUCCUACCUUGCAGGACCGCUGUUGUAGAAUCAUACAUGGAGAUUGCUCAGUCCUGGGCCAACUUGGCCUACGAGGAGAUACCAGUAAACGACCUUAUCCGCGGGCA